rnacentral:rRNA from 1 species
GAUGAACGCUGGCGGCGUGCUUAACACAUGCAAGUCGAACGAAGCACUUUAUUUGAUUUCCUUCGGGACUGAUUAUUUUGUGACUGAGUGGCGGACGGGUGAGUAACGCGUGGGUAACCUGCCUUGUACAGGGGGAUAACAGUUGGAAACGGCUGCUAAUACCGCAUAAGCGCACAGCAUCGCAUGAUGCAGUGUGAAAAACUCCGGUGGUAUAAGAUGGACCCGCGUUGGAUUAGCUAGUUGGUGAGGUAACGGCCCACCAAGGCGACGAUCCAUAGCCGACCUGAGAGGGUGACCGGCCACAUUGGGACUGAGACACGGCCCAAACUCCUACGGGAGGCAGCAGUGGGGAAUAUUGCACAAUGGGCGAAAGCCUGAUGCAGCGACGCCGCGUGAGCGAAGAAGUAUUCGGUAUGUAAAGCUCUAUCAGCAGGGAAGAUAAAUGACGGUACCUGACUAAGAAGC